GUGACUGGUAUUGAUCUAUCCGGCAAUUCUCUCUCCGGUGAAAUCCCUUCAGAGUUGACAAAUCUUCGAGGGAUCCAGUUACUAAAUAUGUCAAGAAAUAAUCUGUCUGGUAGUAUCCCAAAGGACAUUGGCAAUCUGAAGUUGUUAGAAUCCCUUGACCUCUCGUGGAAUAAACUGUCUGGUCCUAUUCCUCCUAGCAUGUCAAACUUGAAGUUCCUGAGCUCUCUUAACCUCUCAAACAACCGUCUAUCAGGUGAGAUACCUACAGGAAGUCAGCUCCAAACACUCGAUGACCCGUCAAUUUAUAGCGAUAAUCUGGGGCUAUGUGGUCCCCCAUUGAACUUUGCCUGUACAAACAGUUCAGCACCCGCGGAUGGGGCAAAGGAACAUCACCAUGAACUUGAUACACUGUGGUUGUACUACUCAGUGAUUGCUGGAACUGUCUUCGGUUUCUGGGUAUGGUUUGGAGCACUGUUUUUCUGCAAGAUCUGGAGGUUUGCUUUCUUCAGUUGCAUAGAUGCAGUGCACCAAAAGUUCAUACUCAAGAUGAAGUGCACCUGA
rnacentral:rRNA from 1 species